AAAUUAUGGAUGUCUGAAACCAUGGGUAGUACUGAGCCCUAGAUUGGGCAUCUAUCCCACACCAAGCACUGUCUGGCAUCUUGAACCUGAAUCGAGUCAUGUAAUCUUCACAUCAGUCCUAGAAGUAGAGGCUGUUUCAUUCCCACUUUACAAACGAAAGCUAAGUCACACUGGUAAUUGGUGGCGAGUUGGAGUUCAAGCUUCAUAAUCUGGCUCCAGAGCUCACUACACAAGUCUGCCUCUCUUCAGCGGACAAAGUAAGUUGAGAAGCACAGUCUUUUCUUCUCUAAGGAAUAUAAAAAGAGAAAACAUGAAGACAGAGCCAACUGGGAAAGCCUUAAGAAAAUAGUGAAUUAACUAUGUGGAUUAAGUAUGGACUACUCUCUGAACUUUUAUUGCUCAUCUUUAUUAAUUAUUUUGUAUCUUUGCACCCUGAAUCAUCAUUAGUUAUCACUCAUCCUUGUUGGGUACAGAGAAUGUACAUGUUCUACUUCUCCUAGCCGACUGUAUGUUACGUGAGGAAGUGCACAGCGGGGACAUUCCUAAUACUUUCAACAUCCUCCUUUGUAUCUGGCCCAGCACUUUAUAGAAGCCGUGUUCAAUACUCAUUAGCCAGUUGGCAAUAAAUUACAGUACAUGAUACAGAGGGGGAAAAAUGGUGGAAGAAGUGGUAAUUGAAGGGAAACCAAAGUCUCUUCAUAUUUAUUGUAUUUGUAGAUGGUGGGGUGAAGAAUUUAGGAGGGAUUAAGAGACCAGGUUGGACUUUGAUAAUGUAUAAUGCCU
rnacentral:lncRNA from 1 species